rnacentral:lncRNA from 1 species
CGAAACCAAGUAUUUUAAUUCCUAAUUCGGGCAGGAGUUCACAAAAACCAAAUUUACGUUGAAAUUUUCGGUUUUGACUCUCAGUCACCCGAAUUGACCGAAAAAUGAAUAAAUACAAGUAGAUGGGCUGAAACCAAUUUAUAGCCUAGAAACCCGGCUCAAUAUCCUACUACUUCAACCCACCUAACUACAAACCCUUAUCCUUUCCACGUAUGACUAAUUUCACCACACCUCAUUUUCCUUCUUCGGGACUACAUCCGUAGCUCUCUUCCCCUACAUAUUUCCCAUGGAGGAAAUGAGAGCAACCCCAACGCAGCGAUCCAUUUUUUCCGUUUGGGUCAUCCGGACACAAAAGCUAGCCCAACGAGAUGACCCAAACGGACGCGCGCGUCCGUCUGCUGUCCGUUUGUUGUCCAUCCCACCCAAACUUGCGCAAAACUGGGUCACAAAUGGGUCCGAGGCGGACAAAACUGCACACUUCCCUCAUCCGCUCCUCCCCCCUCUUGUCCACCCUGGUCCCACCUAUCAACGACCUGCCGCGGCUGCUGAUGUUUGGGUGCUGCCCUCGUCCACUCCUCCCGGUGCUGCGGGCGAUGCGCGGCGCCACGCGGACCGUGGAGGAUAGUCAAGACGGGCCGACCUGCUCGCCGGCGACCCCGAUCUGCUCGCCGGUGACCCCGAGGUGCACACGCUCUGCCGCCUGAUCGCCACUGCAGGGCCCUCUCUUGGUGCGCUUACGAGGAGGUGGAGGGAGGCGGAGGUGGGGUGGUUGGAGGACUGCGGGCCCGGUGCCAGCGGUGCAAGGCGAGGCGGGGGAUCACGCGCACGGUAGGUGGCGUCACGGCGGAGAUCCAGUCCUGGGCGGACCGUGAGCUCGCCGCGCGCCUUGUGGCUGUGCUGAGGGGCGCGAACUACGCUCGGGCGCGCGUGCUAUUGGCGGGUGCUGCUAUCAGGGGAGGUGGGGUGCUGCUGAAUCCGGCCAGGGAGGGGAGGUGUGGAUAAGGGAGAAGGUGGGGAGGGGAGGUGGUGUGCUGGUGGAUUCACGCUGACAACCUCGUGCGUUGGGUUCGUCCACCCAUCGCGCGUGUCCGCCUCAUGUCCGUUAGGCGGACGGGUGAUCCAAACGAACAAAAUCCAGAUAAAAUUUGUCUCCGUUUGGGUCGCCCCGUUGGAGUUGACUUGACCAUUGCUAAUGUGGAUCCAAUCUCGGUCCUUCUCCACCAGGCCAUAGCUCUAGCCCUAGCAACCGCCAGCCUUCAGCUGCCUCUCCUUCUCUCCACCUCAGUAGCCAAUCCAUUCUGCUGGUUCCACCACCUCUCGUCCUUAACUCGCGAUGGUGCGCCUCCAUCUGCUCCAGGUGAGCAAGACCAGUAGUCGGGCGAGUUUGAGCUAUCAAACGUCAGCGUCGCAACCCAGCUGAAUUUCUGUCGCGUUUCCUCUACUGUCGGUUAAUUCGACAAGAAUAAGGACCGAACCGACCACCGAACCCUCGGUUAGUUCCUAUGAAUAUGACCGAUCGGUCAUCCUUUUUCCGAGACCGAUAUUUGUAGUAAGCCAAAGAACUGAACCGAUCAGUUCGGUUUAACUGAACGCCCACGCCUACCGCAGAUAGCCCCAGGUGCACCUUCAAAACGAGUAAGCGUCUUCGUGUGUAUACACUUUCAGUUUCUGGAAAGCGGAUUCACCCCGAACCAUUUUCUUUUUAGAUCUUUUUUAAAACUAUUGUUUGACUAAAACUUUGACUUGCUCUAACUUUUGGAAUAAAACUCCAAAUGAGUUGAUUCUUUUUCAGUUGUUUUUCAAAUCUCAGCUUGUUUAUUGUUAUAUUGAUUUCAAAUAAUUUUGAACAUAUAUGAUGUUUUGUAAUUAUGUGUUAAAAGGAAUAUUUUCAAAAAUAGGAAUUUGAAGGGAAGAACUUUCAAAGUUUUGGAGUGAGCUCAACCAUUCUGCAUACUCAAGGCAAACAUCUUGAAUCCUAUUUGGCUUAAGUGCGUGACUGAUUGCUGCGAUGAUCGGAUGCAUGGUUUUGUUACUUAAAUACAACUCCCCAUAGUAGCAUACAUUGCAUGAAUACAUGUCAUAUUUGUGUGAUUGCUGUUGAGCAUAUAAUGUCGGUGAUGUGUGGGUACUACCUCCUGCCACGUAUGCCAUGUGGGUGUGGACAACCUGGAGGAAGGUUUGUCAUGGUGAAGAUGUGACCAUGAAACUGAUAUCUCAUGGCGACGAGAGUGAUCAGUGUGGGUAUAUUGAGGUGUGAUGGUGGUAUCCCCAAUGAAUUUUAUUCACAAAAUUGUGUGGUGCUAACCCUUGCAGAUAAAACACUUAAACCUCCUGAGUCGACCAUAGAUCGAGUCUUGUGAGUGCGUCACCUUACUUUUCAUGAUGCCACAGGUCUUCCCAAAAGGGAAUACAAUUUAGAAGGUCGUAAUCCUAUUACCAUGUGCACAUGAAGUGGAGGGGCCGGAUGAAGGUUCCAUGGCCCUGGAACAAUUCCAGGCAUCCGGUCAGGGGGCAUGGGUGUUUUCCGUAUGGGACCGAGAGGGGGACCCUCGCCUUGUAGCACAUGGUGUAAAUUUGAUCCCAUGCUAUUCGAGGAUGUUGGCCUCCCCAUCUUAUAGUUUUUCCCUGGAAGCGUGUCCGGGUGAUUCCAGACCUCGUUGGGUAAAAAUGGGUGUGUGCUGGUUUUGAGUGUUCACUUCUAAAAUACCAUACACGGGAUUAGUCCUAGUGACUAUUGAACCCCAUUGGCUGUGGGUAAAGAGUACACCUGCUGCAGAGUGGAAAACUAUUCAAGUGGUCGUGUCCGCAGUCAAGGACGAUAGGUUGAUAGGCCAAGUGUCGGUCUGAGUGUCAUUCUUCGGAGGAAUAAAUAUAAAGAUGAUGAUGAUCAUGAACCGGGAUGACAACCAUAAUUAUUAUGAAUUUUGCGGUGGACUAAUUAUUUUUGGUAUCCUUGGGACGGUUCUACCUCCCGGAUACUCGAUGUUAUUAUUUUUUUAUAAGCCCUUUAUGUGGUGUCGCAUAGAUGCCUCACUUUGGCAAAUUUUAUUAUUACCAUAUAAAGCCCUUUUUGUUGAGUUACGUAGACGGCCGACAAUGGCAACUACUAGUACUUUCAUAUAAGCCCUUUUUGUGGUGUCGCUUAUACGCCCGACUGUGACACGCAUGUUAUUACUUAUUUUAUUAUUGUUAUAUUUUUAUAAGCCCUUUUUGUGGCGUCGCUGAGACGCCCAACUACGAAACACCCGUCAUUAUCUCAUUGUGAGCCCUCUAUGCGGUGUCGCCCAGACGCCCGACUGUAGCUUAUAGUGGGUGUCCUUACGAGGUGUCGCCUAAGAUGCCCGAUCAACACCUUUAAAUUAAUUAUUUCCCCUUUAUUCUGCUUGCUUGUACAUCAUGACUAGAAAUGACUUAACUGCAUAACUGCACCCAUGAAUUUAAUCUUGUGGCAUAUGAGGUGGUAUUAAAAUGUUUGGGAAUGCAUCUCACCUGCAUUUACUUAUGUGUCUUCUUCAUGAUUGCGAGUUCAUCCAAAGUACUCAUUGGCUUGUCCCUGGCUAUUGCCUUGGCUAGAUCGCAUAUUUGGAGAGGAGCAUGAUGAUUGCAACCCCGGAACCUGAGAGUUGAGGAUAGAAGCCUUGUGAGAUAGGAAUUAUCCAGGUCAGCUGUUCUUGUGGGAAUGGAGCCCCAUGGGCACUUGAGAUUCCACGAGUUGCUUCCGUCGUCAACCUUUCGACAUUUUUGUCCAACCUCCCUCAUGGACCUUCAUGGUAUUGUACCCCAAACUUUGUAAUUGCUUGGGAAUUUUGUAUCAAGUGAGUGUUAACCAUCUAAUAGUAGUCCUAGGGCUGAUGAUCACAAGGGCCUGUUUUCUGGAAAUUUUAUUCCGAAAAAACGGAUGCUACAUCACCCCAUGUUUAUUUAUCAUGUCAAGUCAUCUGACUUCAUGGUACUUACAUGUCAUCCAUGACUCGUGGUAUAUUACAUACUCGAGGUAAGCACCUGAACAAUUCCUUUCUCCAGGAAAUACUAAAAAAAGAGUUCACUCGACUGGUACCCAGCCCUCAUCAUGUACAUCGUGCGAGCCUCGCUCUAGAUUGUACCAUCCACGAAGGGACCAACGGUGUGCCCGGUGUAUGUGAAAACAGUCCAUGGUCGCCCUACGAGACAUGAUCCCGUCUCGAUAGAGUGACUCGGCUCUCCCGGCACAAGUAAUGUGGGCUCUGUGCUAGCAUCGACCAAGGUAAUCAACAAAGCGCAACCCCAUAAAGGGAUAUCAUGGUCGCACAUGUAAGGUUGGUAAGGCUAGCAAAUAUUAAAUCUAAGCCUUUUUGAAACCAGUCACACAACUUGCCUUAGUACGACACUUCUUUCUCAAGUGGUCACCUAACUCAAUGCCAUCUCCCUCCGGCAUUAGUGGCACGUGACAGGGUUUUCAAAAAGUCUUUGAAAUAUUUUCCUCAUCGUCAUCAUGCAUAUUCCCAUCCAAUUUGCGUAGAAACUACUAGCAUCGUAACCACUUCCCACCUGCACAACCCUCAUAGGAAGGUAGGGCCGUGCUCAGUGCAUGUAUCAACGAGGGGUUAUCGGAGAUAACCCAUGGAGGUGGUCAUCGAUUCAACAUGAUUCAAAUUCAAUGAAGUGAAGUGCCACAUGACAUGCAUAAAUGGUUUCAAUUCAUGGUCAAGGGGCUACUUCCCUCGCUCAGCAAAGUCUUCGAGGUCUUCUCACGCUUCUCGUCCAAAUCCGAGCGCUUCAUCUACUUCGUCAACUAUCGUAGGAAACAACUACAAUAAGCCACUCAACAAGCAGAUAAACAAAGUGCUCUAUAAAUAGGAGUUUUAUAUUUAUUGUACAUCUUUGGUCAUAAGAAAAAUACGUACGGUUUGUGCUAAUUUAUUUGGGUCGCCGGAGAUUUUUGAACGGUGGAAAUGGAGGAAUUUAUGAUCCUAUAAGAAGUCUACAAAAACAUUUUUAUAAAAAUGAGUGGAUAUGCCUAUCAAUUAGGGAAUGAUUUUAGAAGAAUUUUGGAAGUAGUUUAACUCGAUUUGGAGUUCUUAUAAAUUCCCUAGUGAUUCACUAAGAUGGAAUAAAUGGAAAAGGGGCCAUUUAUUUGGUCCAACAGAAAUAAUGCACGACAAAAAUGUUCACCUAGGCUAGAAAAAUAGAGCAGGGUUUUAUAGACAACUAGGAACUUGAAUCACUCCAUUUGGAGUUGUUUUGGAUGCUUUAGAAAAUUUGUAAAGUGGGGGUUUGAAAUAUUCAAAUUUGAAUUUGAAUAUUAAUACUACAGAAAAUAUGUGUGAAAAAAUGUGCAAUGUACAUAUUUAGAUAGCACAUGAUUUUCGGAAACUGCAGGAAUUUGAAUUACCUAUUUUUGGAGUUCAUAUGAUUUUAAUAUGAAUUUAUUUGCCUCUGAGUUAAAUACUAAAAGUAAGGAAUUAUAAUUACCAAAAUGGGCCAACUAGCGCACGGGGCGCCAGAUAACAACUGGGCCGAACCAGUGGCUCGGUCGGGAAGCCGAGGGCAAAGACGAAGGUGCAUUCGAGCGAAUGCAGUUUUUUUGCGGGAAUUUGGGAUCGGCUAGAGCCAUUCCACUUAAGGCACCAGGGCCCACUCGUUAGCGGCCCGACCCCGAUGGUUGGCCGACAGGCUAGGCCCCGACGACAGGUUCGACUCCCUUCACCUGUUCAUGCAGACGAGGUCCAAAGGAGAUCGGGCGCAUGUCGGAGCUUGCUCCACCGGAUACCUCCAGCGAGGCCUCGCACAGUGGUGAGAUCACGAGGUCGCGUCGCCUCCGUUCCUGCGCCGACCGUGUGCGGGGGAGGUCCGCAUCGAUGCCAGUUUGGACGGCUAUGGGAGAGGCCGUCGGCCAUCGCUAGCCUCGAGCUCUAGGCGCCCUGGGGAGGAAAGAUGAUGAUGGGAGGGCCUCACAUCAGCUAGGAGGGAACAAUGGGGUGCCAGGGGCGAGGGAGAACUCAGAAUGGGCGUGAAUUUGAGUCGUGGCCACCGGAAAUGAUUCGGCCAUGAAUGGGGAUGAAGUGCGGCGGAGGAGGAGUGGCUUGUCGAGGAGGUUUUCUGGGAGCAGGAAGAGUGCUCUACGGGGUCCAAGGCGUUCAGGGGAAGGAUAAAUGGAGGGUGCGCCGAAGUGGAGGCCCGGAUGCGCGUCGGAUGCUCUAGGCGCGGCGAGCACGCAUGCUAGAGAUGUCUUGGAGACUUGCUGGCGUCAUGGAGGGGAGUGGGAGACUUAGAGGAGUAGCCUAUUGCGUGUGGACACCCUGGUGCAACCGAACGCAAGCUACAAGAAAAUUUCCCUUAGGAGAGCGUCGUUGCUACAGGUCCACAACAAGGUCACCAUGCCACCUUGUGUUCAGGACAUUAUUUUGGUUGGCCAAGGAUGUCUGGCGUGCAAGUCAUGCAUGGAAGAGGGUGAUGGUGGAGUUUGGAUCCAUAUGGAGAUGGGUGGAGGUGGUUUUCACUAAGGUUAAGUUUGUUGCAGCAAUCUUGGGGGUUAGCAAAAUGGAUUUUACUAGUGGGCACAUGGGAUAAAACCUUGUCUAGUGGCCCUAGCUAUGCAAGGACUACUUGACCACCAAGUUUCAUCUCAGGAAGAGGAGUGUAGCCAUCACUUGUAAUUUAGGGCCAAAUUUGCUGUCAAAUCUUUGGUUUUGAUGGUUUGCUCAUAUUUUCCACAUGAGCAUGCCAUCUUUGGGCUUGGAUUGAUGCAUCAGCAUGCAAGAGAGACCGUGGGAGAAUUUGGAGGUAUUUGCAUGCAUACAAUAAUGGGAGAGGGGGGGAAAGGGGUGCUGCCAUGGUGAAAAGGAGAGAGAAAAUGAGGGAGUUACCCUCCAAUAAUUUAUUAGGGGCCAUAGAAAAGUUACUGAAGGUAGAAGAGGGUGAGAAAAUAAUGUGUUAGAAAAUUGGAGGCAAGGGCAAUCUUUUUGGGUCAACAUUGUUUGUCCUCUCAUUUAUGGCACAAGGUGUUUGUUCUAUGUUUGGGCUAGGCAGAAGAAUCCUAUGGCCUUGAUAUUUACCACGAGUGAAUGGUAAGACCAUUUGGCCUCGAUCACCAAUUUUGAGAUUAUAUGGUUAAAGUUGACAAUGUAAACUUGAUAAACCCUAGAAAUGGGUCGAAAUGGUUUUCUAUAUAUAAAUUCAUAUAAAUUAAUUCCCCUAAUGCACCACUUUGCGUGGUGGUAUUAUUUGAGGAUUAGAGCAUGCCCAAAAAGUUUGGGGUCAUUUGGACAAACUUGCCAAUGCAAAUAUUCCCAUUUCUAGAAAUUAUAGAAGUGGUUUUGAGGGGCUUUGGACAAGUGGAUCGGUUCUCCUUGAUGCACCACUUGGUAUGGAUGCAUUGUUAGGGUAUUAGAACAUGACCACAAAAUUUGAGCAUAAAAGGAUAAACUUGGCAAUGCAAAUUUGCUCAAGUUUGGUUCUAGACACAAAGGGUUUUGGAAUAUUUUGGUGAAUCAAAUCAACUUGGAUUGAGAAGAAAUUUGGCAAGAUCAUCACAUAUAUCUUGUGUGACUUUCUAUAAUUUUACUGGAACUUAUUGAGAAUAUUUCCUAUGGAAAUACUUCAAAAGCUUGAAAUAGGUAGAAUGGGUUUUGGAGAGUAUUGUCCACUAUUUUGAACAUGACCAUAUGUUGAAACCCUUAGAUAUGGAAAAUAUAUGUCCACUGAGUUUCCCUAAAUUUGCUCAAAUAUUUUGGAAGCAAGAAAAAAAAAAUCUUCAUAAAAGACCCUUUUUGAUCCUAAAAAGGUAUUUAAAUAAAAUAGGAAAAUAAUUUCUAAAAUAAUAAUUUUUUGGUUUUGGGAAGAGUUUUUGAUAAUGGGAUUUAAAUAAAAUAUUUUGGGCAAAUCAUCUUCCCUAAUUUGAAGACUUGUAGUACAAAUCUCAAUUCAAGGGAUUUUGAAAAGCUAUUGAAAUAAAUGCUUUUUGGUCAAAAAUAAUAUUUGGUAAAAUGGUUUUCUGUUCUAUACACAUGGUAUGGUCAUUGGGCAAAGACUUGGGGCAAUGAGCUGAGUCCAAAGAGUAGGAGGUAGUUUUGUGAUUUAAAACACAAUAAAACAAGCAAGCAAUCACCAUCAAGUCAAGCAUCACAAGCACAUACAAAACUUUAUAAGUGGCCCUAAUUUUGAGCUAUGUUAACUUAGUCAGGAAAGGCAAAGCACAUGGUUUUAUAGACCUACCCCCUUACAAGAAUCUCGUCCUUGAGAUUCGUAGGCUAGGUGUUGAAGAGGGAGAAAUUCAGAUCUGAGAUUGUCUUCACGCUUCCAUGUUGCUCCUUCUUGGAUGUGAUCACUCUAGUGGAUCUUGAAGUGCUUGAUGAUAUGGCUUCGAAUGCUUCUAUUGGUUUCAUAUGAGAGUGAACGGGGUUCUUGCAAUAUGCUAGGCUUUACUAGAGGUCAAGGGCUUGGUGAAUGAGGUCCGCGCAAGGGUCUGGUUUGCGUGUGUAUUCCAAAGUCAGAAUACAUGGCAAAGUAGUGUGUGAGUUUGUGUUGGUCCGGGGUUGCUCAUGUUGGUUAGUGACAUAUAGAUGUCUCGAUUUAGAAUAAAAGGGUCAAGUCUUGGUGUACCUCCCCGUUGACAGGGAGGUCCUUGACUUCCUUAAAGCAGGUGAUCUCUAGUCGCAAGUGUUCUUCUUUCUUGAGAGUGUCAACAUAACCUUGAUAUCUUCAACAUGAGAAGUUGUCAAAGUAUGUUUCUUAUUUGACUCCAGCCAUUUGUCUUUGCCAUCAUGGACGCACGUUUCUGGUGUGUCUUCGAGUGCCUCUUCGUAGCUACUUGUGAAAAAGUUUGGGUUAGGUUUAGUCCCUAAGACCAAGUUUAGAGACUCCAUGUUUAAAACGGUUUCUACCACCUAGGAAGGUUUUGAGUCCCUAGAUGAGCUGGCUACCCAAAAGUAUAGACCAGCCAUCCAAUCCCCAUGGCCUCAGGCUUGGCAAGCGGGAUGAACCUCCUUUGACAGGGUUUCACGAUGGUCCAGUCAGGACUUCACAUCUUUGAUUGGGCCAAAAAGGGGAUUUUUAACUUCUCUUCAUGUCCAAGGGCUUCAUCAUGCUUGAACAUCAAUGCUUCUUGCCAUAGUUCGUGGAUCGAGCAGAGGAGUGGAGGUUGACCCCUAUCGCUUCUUCUUCAUUGUCAUGGUUUCUCAACCAUGGUGGUUCUUGACCUUGCUUCAGUAGGAUUGUUUUCUGCGGCUUGGAGGGUGCUUCGAGGAGUCCACGUUCUUUAAGGUAAAACCAUACACUUGAGAGGCAUGGAGAACGGUGCUUUUAGGGGCAUAUCCAAAUAGGGCUAAGGUAUCCCUUCUCUUAUUGGGGAAAUGAGUAUGUCAUCCACGAGGGCAACACAUAUUUCUCCAAGCAUCACAUAGUCAAAUUGCUUAUGGGACAUUUUCGGGAAUCGAAUCAACUUGGAUUGAGAUGAAACUUGGCAAGAUCAUCACAUAUAUUAUGUGUGACUUGUUAGAAUUUUGCUGGAAUUUAUUGAGAAUAUUUCCUAUGGAAAUAUUUCGAAAGCUUGAAAUAGGCAGAAAGGGUUUUCGAAGGUUUUGUCCACUAUUUUGAACAUGACCAUGAAUUGAAAUUAUUAUAUAUGGAAAAUAUAUGUCCAAUGAGUUUCCCUAAAUUUUCUCAAAUAUUUUGAAAGCAAGAGAAUAUUUUUUCUUCAUAAAAGACCCUUUCUAAUCUUAGAAAAAGUAUUUAAAUAAAAUAGGAAAAUAACUUUUAAAAUAACAAUUUUGUGGUUUUGGGAAGUCUUUUUGAUAAUGGUAUUUAAAUAAAAUAUUUGGGGCAAAUCAUCUUCCCUAAUUUGAGGACUUGUAGUACAAACCUUAAUUCUGAGGUUUUUGAAAAGCUAAAUUUAAAUAAAUGCUUUUUGUUCAAAAAUAAUAUUUGGUCAAACGGUUUUAGGUUCUAUACACAUGGUAUGGUCACCGGAGUUGGGGCAAGGAGGUGAAUAU